UUAGAGCAGUCUGUUUUAUGUUCUGUAUUACUUAUUUUGCUUUUGUCUUUGCUUUCUGUUCCCUUUUUUCCUACUCUGACCUUCUUUUUCUCUCCUCCUGUUUUGUUUCACUUCUGGUCAACCAACCAAGCAAUUGAGUUUCUGAGUUUCUGAUUGUCUGCUUCUUUGACAACUCCAGACAGUAGCCAAACCUUCACCUAAACAACCAUGCCGGGUCCGGGCCCCCACAUGAUGUACACACUUGGAGCGGGUCAAGCCCUGAUGAUCAUAUCCAACGGGCGAUUCAGCCCGCAUCACUGCCUCGUGUAUGCAAUCAAUGCUUUCUUCGGGCCGGAUAUGGGCUCCUUCUCGGAGUGGCUCACCUCCACCCUCGGGCUGGGACGGGCCGUGGGCUCUGCUGCAGAAUCAUUCAUCCAUCACCCCAUUUACUACACGCUCCUUCUGGGGUUCCCUUUCUCAGUCUUGUACAGCUGGAUUUCCAGAAUUCUUCUCCGUAGGGGUCUUCUUGAUUCCAUUUCUGGGGUCGGUUACCCAGUACUUCCUCCAAUUUUCAUUUCUUGAUGCAGUGUAUAUGUGAAUUUUGGUUUUUGAUGUUUCGUGUGUGGUGAUUGUGGAAGAAUUGGAAAUUGAACUUUAUAUUAUCAGGAUAUGAACGCUUUAAUUCCCAGUAGGGGGCCAGAAAUGGGCGUCCAGAUCAACGAUACCCAUGCCCGUGUUUGUUUUAAAUUGUUUUAGGUCAUAAUGUAAUGAAGACAAGUCCAACUCUAGACCGAUCAUGUGGGGGGCAAUGACGUAAACAGGUACAACAGGUACUGGUAGUAAUUGGAUCUUUGAUACCCAUUCCCGAAGGUGAACCAUACGGCUCCUAAGUUUUUGGUGAAAAAGUGGAAAAGUUUAGGUGUUGUGGGAGCACAAAGAAGCUUCGAAUUUUAGCGAAACCAUUACUAUGUUGAAAAAAUGUGAUCAGGGGCCAUAAUGAUGAGCUGAUGAGUUGAAAUAAGUGCUAUGCAAAUUUUGGCUUUGAAUUGGUAACGUUUUCCAAGAAUUGCCUGUUUUUCAGUACCCUUUUUCUGUGAUGUGACUACCUGCCAAAUGGACAUACAAGCAAUGUAAUGAUUUUGUAAGACUGCAUGCAAUGGAUCUAUGAAUUUUUAGGAUCAAACAGGUCUGCUGGCUGUGUCUUGCUUCAGAAAUGCUUCGUGAGAAAGAGAUUCAGAAUAUUUGCAUAACGGGCAAUCUAACUAACUGACAUCCAAUAUAGUUAAAUUGUGUCAGACUCAGCGCACAAUCUUGCUUAUGAAGGAAAUAUGGGAGAGUAAAUUGGCUGUACUUUAUUGGAAAGCAUAAAGAUCAAACUCAGAAAGGUCUGAAAGGAGAACAGAGUAACCAUUUUAAUCAAAAUAGUACUUGAAUGGAUUGUGCUGCUGUGGUAGCACAUCAUAUAUCAUUGUUCAUUGUAAGCAUUUGCCAUAAUUUGAAGUUAGCGAAAUAAAGUUUGAUUUUCCGUAAGAAAUUAAGCAUUGAGACCAAUAUGACAUUUUUAAUUAGUGCCCUGUUGCUAUAAACUGAAUAUCCAACAAAAAUUUAUGAAUCAAUAUUACAAAGCUAUCAAUGCUAUUUACUUCAGACCUUCCAUAGCGAGUUGGUCUGAACGAGUACAUGAGGAGUUAAAAGCGAAAACUGUUUCCUGCUGCUUGUUAUGAGAAGUACAAAAUUUAGCUCCAUAUUUGUACAGCUAAACCUAAUUAUAUCAUUUGCAACGUGGUACUAAUUACUUUGGCAUUUUCUUUUCUAGUAUUAAAUUGGUAUCUUGAUUCUUGCCUAAGGUUUGAUUCUUAGUGUAUAGAUCUUUAUGUUACAUUUCUUUGCCAUUAGAAGAUCAUUUCUUAAGCCGAUAUCUAACUUCAUUGUCCUGUUUUUUUGGUGCACAGGUACCUCUUACAAGAUGGCAGUGCUUCUACUUGGUGUCAGCAGGUUCUUUGUCCCAUUUUUUCUUAGACCACUUGUUUGAGGAAAACGGGCAGUCUAAAAUGUAUACUUGGAUACUGAGCACAGGUUGGUGGAAAGGCAGAGCACCAAUCACCCCAGAUGCAGUUGUUGUGAUUAGCUUCCUUUGUAUUUGCUUGAUUGGAGGUUUUAUAUAUAUUAACAGAGUGAAGUCCUCGAGAUCUCUAAAAACCAGGUCUAAUCUGUCUGCAAGAUUAAUCUUGACAAUAGCAGUCCUGUACUCAUUAUGGUGUGCUAGCCAGAUAUACUUGGUAAGUCCUCGUCGACCAGCAGUCGGUGAAGAGGCUGAUCUCGGUGUAAUUGUGUUUCUGAGCAUUUACUUUUUCCUGCCCCAUUGUCUGUGUUUUAUGUCUAUGAACACUAGAGAUUUUGCUGAAACAUCAGAACAGCUUCCGCUUUGAUUGGCAAUCACUAUGGUUUAGCUUGUUAAUGGCAUAUGACCUUCAUCUGAAGGGUCUCUUCUGUUGAAAA